UUGAACACCUCCAAGGACGGGGCAUCCACAACCACCCUGUGCAGCCUGUUCCAGGCCCUAACCACUCUCCUAAUGAAGAACCCCACUCCCCUAUGUGAUGUGUUAGUAAAGCUGCUCCCAAAUCCGUCACGCUCGGGGCUGUGUGAGUUGGGAAUUGUCAGCAUUUCGCUGCCCAGGCCCCGGCCAAAUCCCUGCCCCGUGAUGGUGUAAACGAUCCGCCACUUCCUGGUGCCUCCCCGCAGGGCUGCGGCACCAUCUGCUCGUGUCACUUUGGCAAUUAACAGGCCGUGCCCGCUGGCAGCCAGGAGCUGCAGCACAAUUCCCUGCGCUGUGGACUCAUGGGUUGAAGGCGUUUCAACUUACACCGGCGACACGCCAGACAAUGAAAAUGACAGACAAGAGAGGAGAGGAAACCCAGCCCUGCAGAGCCUGGACGUGUCCUCCACCUCCUUCUGCUCAACCGUGAUAAAAAAAACAACUCCUCCUCCCUCCUCAGUGUGCCAGACCCAACUCUGCUGGGCAGCCUGUGCCCUGCUCAGCUGCCUCAGGCCAGCAGCGAGGUCUGUAUGCAUGUGACAUGACAGCAUCCUCUCUCCUACACAGCAAAGCUCCACGCUCGUGUUCUUGUGCUGUCCUUUUUUGCGAGUGGUUUUAUUUUAAAACUGGAACUCGGGUUCUCCAUUUGUUUAACAAGUCCCCCCCCCCCCCUUUUUUUUUUCCUUUUUUUAAAUAAAAUUAAUUUAUUCUACAGAACAGUAAACUCUUCCAGACUCUUCCCUAUUUACAAAUGAACAUGUUUGUUUGCAGAUUGCUGCUCCCCCCCGCCCCGCUCCUAUCCCGUGACGCAGAUGAUGACAAAUCAGCCAACACGUCUGUCUGUAAGGCAGCGCUCUCAUCCACCGCCACCUGGGGACUGUGGGGAGAACAAGAGCAGUGACAUCUGUGCCACAUCUGGAGGUCCCCACUCCAUCACUGCGCAUGUGAAGGGAGUUUGUGUUAAACCCAGUGAUGAGGAGCAUCCAGCUUCUCCUUGCACGAGCAAGCACGAGCAAGGAGAAAUACCCACUCUCACUGCCCCAGCCUUUGCGUGGGGAAGUGGCUGCUGGCAGAGGGCUGUGUGUUUGCACCAGUGGAGCUGGCUGCAGGAAGGAUUACUCCCAGCCCUCAGCAGCCCAGAAGGCAGCUCUCAGCUCUGGACAGCAUCAUCCCUGCCCAUAGGAAGGAUGAGAAGUGACUCCAGAGCUGGGACAUGCUUUGCUAGCUCAGGAUAGAAGGCACCUAACAAAAAAAUAUCUGAUCCAAAUCAAAACCAGACACCAGAACAACUCUUCAGGCAUUUCACUGUAGUUUGAGCUUGGCUGUGGCUUGACUCAUACCCUAUAUGAAGCACAAAUCCCAGCAAGCAGCCUGGCCCCAGCAUCUUUCUCCUCUCUGCUCUCCCCCAGGUCUCAGCAGUGAAAUAGGGAGCUCCUUUUCAUGCUGGAGAUCUGCUGUAGGGGUCUGCUCAAAAGCCACUGUGCUGUUAAUAGGCAGAGACAGCACAUGGUCCCUGCAGGCAGCAGCGCUGCCACAUGGCACCGGUGAGGGCAGGGCGGCAUUUGAACAAGGGAAAUCCCAAUGCUGUCAGCCCAACCCGGCCCCCGUGUUCCACCUGCACAACCCCACCUGGCAGCAGCCCCGUUCCUUUCACUCUCUCUGGGCUUUUCCAAUUUCUAUAAGAAAAAAAAAAAA